AAUGUUUACCUGACACAGAAAAAGAAAACUUUGCAGAUGUGAUUGUGGCAAAAGACCUGGAGAUGGGGAGGGGGAGCCCGAGUUCUCCAGAGCCUUCGGAAAGGAAUUCAGCCCAGUUGACACCUUGACUUUCACCAAUGAGACCUGUAUUGGACUUCUAACCCACACAACUAUAAGAGAAAGAGAGGAAGGGGAGUAGAGACAGCAAGAUGAAGAAAGAGAAACUUCGGGGUGAGAGAGAAACAUUGAUCUGUUGCCUCCCUUCAGGCCCCAAGCACCAACUGGGGAUAAAACCUACAAUCUAGAUACUCUUAAGAACCAGAGAUGCCAAGCAGGAACUGCCUGAAUCUACCCUCAGCUAAGAAGAAAAGUCCAGGCACAAUGAUAGCUGUCUGUAGUCACCAGUGUCUGGCGCAGUAUCACCAUUCCCUGUUUCCUCCCCCAGCCCUUGUAACACUUUUAUAGGCAAUUCCCUAAACUGCCCUAGUGUGAUUUGCUUUUUCCUGAGUGAAUGAUGAACAACACAAAUUUUACCUUUUCAAUC